ACCAAUAAAUUUUCGAUUGAAAAAUCUCUCUAUAAAUAUUCUCAGAUGUUGCAAAUAUAAUUUCACGGCUUAAAGAAGCUUGCUUCUUUUGCAAACAAAAAUGGGUACCAAAAUUUGUUCGUUUAUUUGGAAAUUGCUAUUUGUUGCUGUGCUUCUCAUGAUUUCUCAUGUUGCUGCAAGAGAAGGGGUCUACAAAUCCAAACCCCACUUAGUUCGUAAACAAGAUGUCCUGAAAUCUUCUAGGCUACCAAAGGAACGCUACAGGGGAGGUAUUCCUUGCUGUGGGAACUAUUAAUAAUGACUCCAAAGAGCAGUUAAAUCUUUAUUUAGGAUCAUCAGUUGGACGUUAGUUUUAUAUCUCGAUAAAGUUUUGUAUUUAAUAUUAUGUUAUUAUCACAUUUUAAAUAAUUAGAAUCUAUGUAUUUGGUUUCAAAAAGUUUGAGGUGAAGUUACAACUCCAAAUGAUCAAUUAUUAGCUUCUUUACGCUACUUUGUUCAAUCAAAGGAUUAAUAAAACCUGAAAAAUCUAUGUAUUUGGUUGCAA